rnacentral:rRNA from 1 species
AUUGAACGCUGGCGGCAUGCUUUACACAUGCAAGUCGAACGGUAACAGGGUGCUUGCACCGCUGACGAGUGGCGAACGGGUGAGUAAUGCGUCGGAACGUGCCGAGUAGUGGGGGAUAACGCAGCGAAAGUUGUGCUAAUACCGCAUACGUACUGAGGUAGAAAGUGGGGGACCUUCGGGCCUCACGCUAUUCGAGCGGCCGACGUCUGAUUAGCUAGUAGGUGAGGUAAGAGCUCACCUAGGCGACGAUCAGUAGCGGGUCAGAGAGGAUGAUCCGCCACACGGGGACUGAGACACGGCCCAGACUCCUACGGGAGGCAGCAGUGGGGAAUUUUGGACAAUGGGCGCAAGCCUGAUCCAGCCAUGCCGCGUGUCUGAAGAAGGCCUUCGGGUUGUAAAGGACUUUUGUCAGGGAGGAAAUCCUAGUGGCUAAUAACUGCUGGGGAUGACAGUACCUGAAGAAUAAGCACCGGCUAACUACGUGCCAGCCGCCGCCGUAACAC